rnacentral:rRNA from 1 species
AGCAGCCGCGGUAAUUCCAGCUCCAAUAGCGUAUAUUAAAGUUGUUGCAGUUAAAAGCUCGUAGUUGAAUUUCGGGGUUAGUAGGUUGGUCAUGCCUCUGGUAUGCACUGGCCUCACUGAUUCCUCCUUCCUGAUGAGCCGUAAUGCUAUUAAUUUGGUGUUGCGGGGAAUUUGGACUGUUACUUUGAAAAAAUUAGAGUGUUUAAAGCAAGCUAACGCUUGAAUACAUUAGCAUGGAAUAAUGAACUAGGACGUUCGAUCCUAUUUUGUUGGUUUCUAGGAUUGACGUAAUGAUUAAUAGGGAUAGUUGGGGGCAUUAGUAUUCAAUUGUCAGAGGUGAAAUUCUUGGAUUUAUUGAAGACUAACUACUGCGAAAGCAUUUGCCAAGGAUGUUUUCAUUAAUCAAGAACGAAAGUUAGGGGAUCGAAGACGAUCAGAUACCGUCGUAGUCUUAACCAUAAACUAUGCCGACUAGGGAUCGGAGAUGUUAAUUUUUUAAUGACUCAUUCGGCGCCUCACG